CAGCCGCCGCGGUAAAACCAGCACCUCAAGUGGUCAGGAGGUUUAUUGGGCCUAAAGCAUCCGUAGCCGGUUGCAUAAGUUUUCGGUUAAAUCUAUGCGCUUAACGUAUAGGCCGCCGAAAAUACUGUGCAGCUAGGGAGUGGGAGAGGUACACGGUACUCGAUAGGAAGGGGUAAAAUCCUUUGAUCUAUUGAUGACCACCUGUGCGAAGGCGGUGUACCAGAACACGUUCGACGGUGAGGGAUGAAAGCUGGGGGAGCAAACCGGAUUAGAUACCCCCGUAGUCCCUGUCUCUUAUACA
rnacentral:rRNA from 1 species